AUGGUAUCACAAUCGAAGACCUACAAUUUUUAAUCAUCCCUUAUUGGUGGAUAAUUUUCACUUUCACUGUUCAAAAUUUCACUAUAAUGACAAACAGUUGAAUCGUUCCUGUGCCUGAAAUUGUAUGACUCUUCAAGCCUGAACCACUAUUUCUGUCUGGUUCUCCUCACUAGCCUUUUCUAAACCAGUAGGCUCAAUUCACUUGAUCAACCUUUGGACAAGGGCUUGCAUCUUUAGCAUAUAGAACUUCCUUAAUAAUGACCAGCCUAUAUUAGUAAAAAGACAAAAAGAUCCUAAAUAGAGGAAGUCUGUUUAACUGAGUCCUUUCUUUCAGCUAUUUCUUCCCUCCUGGAUUUUGUGUAUAGCAGCCACGUAGUCUUACGUGCCUAAUUUAUUUGUUCCAUGCCUGGCUUCCCCCGAUCAAAUGUAAGCACGGGGACUUGGUUUUGUUCAUUUCUCAUUCUUGGGGUCUAGAACAAUGCGUGGCGUAUCGUCAUCACUCAAUAUUUAUUGAUGAACAAUUACUGGCUAUUGGAAAGGUUAUCAUAACAUAAAUAUUCAUUUUAUAGUAGUACAUGUGCCGUAAUAGAAUAUAUUGACAUCAUUGUUAAUAUAUCCCAUCCCAUUAUACCAACUCUGUCAAAUAAGCAUAUUAUCUUUGGCUAAGCAAUAUGGAAAAGGUAAGUCAGGGUUAUAAAAUUGCCGAGCAUCACACGUCAGAGUUCUAGUGCUGGGAUUAGACGGAGGUCACGCAGAUUCCAAAAAUGCUGUGCUUUUCUCUGCACUAUACGACAUUCCCAGAGCAUGGCUUUCCUUUCUUGAACUUCAUCCUACUGGCGUCUGACAUUCCUUAGGGCCCAGAGAACAGUGGAGUCAAGAAAGGUCAGUCUCUUGGGGGAGGGAAGGGAGAGGAACUGAGAUGAACCCAGAAUCACCUGGGGGGAAAGACAGCUGCCAGCCCUUCACCUGGCCCCGAGGACAAAAGAGGCACAGCUGGGACUAAAUCUUCUAAGGCGGGACCGGGAGCCUGGCUAAUCCACCCAGGAUGCUCCCUGAUGCCUGACACAGAGAAGGCAGCAGUGGCCUGGCUGCAGGUCCAGCCAGUAACGGCUCUUCCAGGACAGGGAGUGCGACCUCCUGGUUCCUCCUCUGGCUCUUCUGGCAACAGAGCCAAGCUUCCCCAAACACUCGAGGGCGUGCAUGAAGCACAGGGGUCAGGCAGAGCGGAAGGAGGCCGCUGUCCCCAUUGGGCACAGGUAAGGCUCUUAGCAAGGCCGACUAACCAGGGCCCCUCCCGGGUUCAGGUGAUCAAGGGGACGAGGUUUGGCAGGGUUUUGUUGGACGUGUAAUUCUGUUCCUUUCCACUCGGGGAAGAUCUCAUCAGUCUUCUCCUCCCUGGGCCCCAGUUUCUCCCCUCUGUGUCAUAGGAGAAGUGAGAUCUGGGACCACAAGCAGCCUGAGAUUACCCAGGUGAUUUUUGUGGGUCAGAAAAGUCUCGGUCCCUGUGGCUUUGCCAGGACACGUACCUCCUCAGAGUCUUGACUGUUGUCUAAUCAACUCAGGGAAGACUUGCCUCAGUGAAACGUGCACAAGGCAGAUCACAUCAAGCACAAUAUUUCUUUAGGUCAGUUCUGUGGGUGCAGAAGGCCUGGAAGAGUGGAUUCCUUCUCCUGGGACAAUCGGUCAAAUGGUUAGCAGAGGACUAUUGCUGCAGAAAUUCUAAAGGGACUGGCAAGGAAACUAUUGACGAACCAGCCUUGGGCCACCGUGGUCUGCGCUUCUUCCUCAGGUCAGGCGGGCAUCUCU
ensembl:lncRNA